GAUGAACGCUGGCGGCGUGCCUAAUACAUGCAAGUCGAGCGAACGGACGAGAAGCUUGCUUCUCUGAUGUUAGCGGCGGACGGGUGAGUAACACGUGGAUAACCUACCUAUAAGACUGGGAUAACUUCGGGAAACCGGAGCUAAUACCGGAUAAUAUUUUGAACCGCAUGGUUCAAAAGUGAAAGACGGUCUUGCUGUCACUUAUAGACGGAUCCGCGCUGCAUUAGCUAGUUGGUAAGGUAACGGCUUACCAAGGCAACGAUGCAUAGCCGACCUGAGAGGGUGAUCGGCCACACUGGAACUGAGACACGGUCCAGACUCCUACGGGAGGCAGCAGUAGGGAAUCUUCCGCAAUGGGCGAAAGCCUGACGGAGCAACGCCGCGUGAGUGAUGAAGGUCUUCGGAUCGUAAAACUCUGUUAUUAGGGAAGAACAUAUGCGUAAGUAACUGUGCACAUCUUGACGGUACCUAAUCAGAAAGCCACGGCUAACUACGUG
rnacentral:rRNA from 1 species